AGGCGGAGGAUAGAAACUAAAUAGGAUUCCCUCAGUAAUGGCGAAUGANCAGGGGAUCAGCUCAGCAUGGAAAUUGGGGCCUCUGGCCUUGAAUUGUAGUCUUGAGAUGGCAUUGCCAGCGGAGGCGCAGAUGUAAGCCUCUUGGAAAAGAGCAUCAAUGAGGGUGAGAGUCCCGUUUGUCAUCUGCAGUCCCCCGUGCACGGCUUGCUUUCUAAGAGUCACGUUCCUUGGGAUUGGAGCGCAAAUUGGGUGGUAAAUUUCAUCUAAAGCUAAAUAUUGGUUCGAGACCGAUAGCAAACAAGUACCAUGAGGGAAAGGUGAAAAGGACUUUGAAAAGAGAGUUAAAAGUGCCUGAAAUUGCUGAAAGGGAAGCGAAUGGAACCAGUUUUUCUUGGCGAGAUUGUUGCGUGCUAAUGUGAUGGCUUGUUGCUUCAACGCAAGUGUUGCAGCGGGUUUUGAUCUGGACGUGCGCGGUGCUUCUUGCCUUGGGUGUCAACGUCGGUUCAGACUUGAGGAAAACUCCAGGGACAUGGUUAGUCACUUCUGGGUGACUGAACGUGCUUGGCAGAACUCAUUUUUGAACUGAAUUCCGCAUGUCUGGUCGCAGUGCUUUCACUUCCUGGACUUUGUUCACAGCUCUUAAGUGGGCCUCUGUGCAUGGGACAGGACGUGGGGCAUCUCCCUGACAUCAGUACGAUGACAAAAUGGUUUUAUUCGACCCGUCUUGAAACACGGACCAAGGAGUCUAACAUAUGUGCAAGUUCACGGGUGUUAAACCUGCUUGCGCAAUGAAAGUGACUGCUGGGAUAUUUGCACCAGCAACCGACCAAUCAAUUGUGAGAGGUUUGAGUAUGAGCAUAUCUGUUAGGACCCGAAAGAUGGUGAACUAUGCCUGAGAAGGGUGAAGUCAGGGGAAACUCUGAUGGAGGC
rnacentral:rRNA from 1 species